GAUUAUUUUCUUAUAUGCAAUGAAAUGUAGUGUGAAAUUUUCACUGUAUCACUGGAAAGGAUUAAACUUUACACAUGCAAAGUAUUUCUUUGGUUGAAUUAAAGGUAAAUACUGUACAUUUUUUUUUAAAAGUGCCAAUUUAACAAAGACUAAUAGGGAAAAAUCAAUGGUGGUAUUACACCUAUUUAGGGAAACUACAUAUGCACUCGUGACCUUAUUGUACUUUCAUUUUUAAAAGUUAUUAAUAAACCAGUUCAUACAUUGUAAACAUGGACUAUUCGGAAUGGAUUUAGACACAGAGAGCACGUUUGAGGUAAAAUUGCCUUGAAAUGAGGGUUUACGGGUGUUUUCUAAGUCAAAUGAGUGGACAGACAAAGCUGUAUUUAGUUUACUGUGUUAAAUUUUAAAUUACCCUGACAGAUUUGUUUAUACAACAUGUGAUUUUUUUUAUUUCAGUGUUAACCAUGUUCUGAAGAGCAUUCUGUUGAAAAAUCUCAUAUGUGAAUUGGUCUGCAGAUGACACUUCAGCAUUAAAGUAAGUAUCAACUAUCAUCAUGUUUUUUUUGUUUUUUUUUUUUUGGCCGCAAAAGUUUACAAUUUGCCAUUGUGCCGUCUACAUUUUGCACAGACAAUAAAUCAUCUAAACACUUAUUUGCCCUGGAUUUAUACACAUCAGAAUCCAGUCUCACAUACUUAAACUUUAUAAUUCUUACCAAUUAUUUUUUGUACCAGCAUUCCAAGGGACAUAACCCUUUUUAAAAACAUUUUGAGGUAUUUUUUAUUACUCUUUCUCCCCAUUUUCUAAUGUAAAAUACAAGAAAGUGGACUCUUUGUGUAAAUCUAUUAGAAAUAUACUGUUAUGAGUAAAUAAAAAGACUUUGAUACCAGUAACAAUAAAUGAUUGACUGAAAGGGAACCGUUAUUUGUCACACUAGGCGAACAGACCAAAAACUUGAGUUACACAUAAGGGCUUAUAGAAACUUCCGUGUAGACUGUUAACAUUUAUAGAGACAGUUCUUUCAGCUAAAACACUUUAAUUAUUGAUUUAACAUAACAUUUAUUUCAUUUUUGUGGGGAAAUAAUCACAUUUGUUUUAAUUUUUAGACAAAAGAUAUCAAGUUUUGAUGAAAAAGGAAGGAAGGAGGAAAAAUGGACCAAAACAGACCAAAACAGACCUUCAAAUGAACUCUAAAAGGUGC
rnacentral:lncRNA from 1 species